rnacentral:rRNA from 1 species
GUUGAACGCUGGCGGCGUGCUUAACACAUGCAAGUCGAACGAAGUGGCGAACGGGUGAGUAAAGCGUAAUCAACCUGGCCUUCAGAGGGGGACAACAGUUGGAACUGAUUGCUAAUACCGCCUAAUGGAGGAGGGGAUUGCGUCUGAUUCGCUAGUUGGGGGGGUAACGGCCCACCAAGGCGAUGAUCAGUAGCCGGUCUGAGAGGAUGAUCGGCCACAUUGGGACUGAGACACGGCCCAGACUCCUACGGGAGGCAGCAGUGGGGAAUCUUCCGCAAUGGACGAAAGUCUGACGAAGCAACGCCGCGUGAGUGAUGACGGCCUUCGGGUUGUAAAGCUCUGUUAAUCGGGACGCGGUACCGGAAUAGAAAGCCACGGCUAACUACGUGCCAGCAGCCGCGGUAAUUC